GAUGAACGCUGGCGGCGUGCCUAAUACAUGCAAGUCGAGCGAACAGACGAGGAGCUUGCUCCUCUGACGUUAGCGGCGGACGGGUGAGUAACACGUGGAUAACCUACCUAUAAGACUGGGAUAACUUCGGGAAACCGGAGCUAAUACCGGAUAAUAUAUUGAACCGCAUGGUUCAAUAGUGAAAGGCGGUUUUGCUGUCACUUAUAGAUGGAUCCGCGCCGCAUUAGCUAGUUGGUAAGGUAACGGCUUACCAAGGCAACGAUGCGUAGCCGACCUGAGAGGGUGAUCGGCCACACUGGAACUGAGACACGGUCCAGACUCCUAGGGGAGGCAGCAGUAGGGAAUCUUCCGCAAUGGGCGAAAGCCUGACGGAGCAACGCCGCGUGAGUGAUGAAGGUCUUCGGAUCGUAAAACUCUGUUAUUAGGGAAGAACAAAUGUGUAAGUAACUAUGCACGUCUUGACGGUACCUAAUCAGAAAGCCACGGCUAACUACGUG
rnacentral:rRNA from 1 species